UACGGAGGGUGCAAGCGUUGUCCGGAUUUAUUGGGUUUAAAGGGUGCGUAGGCGGCCUAUUAAGUCAGUGGUGAAAGCCAACAGCUCAACUGUUGAACUGCCAUUGAUACUGAUAGGCUUGAGUACAGACGAGGUAGGCGGAAUUGAUGCUGUAGCGGUGAAAUGCAUAGAUAGCAUCAAGAACACCGAUUGCGUAGGCAGCUUACUAGCUGUAACUGACGCUGAGGCACGAAAGCGUGGGGAGCGAACAGG
rnacentral:rRNA from 1 species